ensembl:snoRNA Gm22915 small nucleolar RNA SNORA70
UUGUAGCCAGGUAAGCUAAUCAGAUACUUUUUUUCAGGGGAACCUGGUGUGUAAUGGAUGCAGGCAGCAGACCCCUUGGGAAUGAAUGCAGCCUGUUAUUUGUAUGGGUUUCCCUAAAUAACCCCGAAGAACAUUU